rnacentral:rRNA from 1 species
AGGGAUCAUUACCGAGUGAGGGCCUCCGGGCUCGACCUCCAACCCUUUGUGAACACAACUUGUUGCUUCGGGGGCGACCCUGCCGUUUCGACGGCGAGCGCCCCCGGAGGCCUUCAAACACUGCAUCUCUGCGUCGGAGUUUAAGUCAAUUAAACAAAACUUUCAACAACGGAUCUCUUGGUUCUGGCAUCGAUGAAGAACGCAGCGAAAUGCGAUAAGUAAUGUGAAUUGCAGAAUUCAGUGAAUCAUCGAAUCUUUGAACGCACAUUGCGCCCUUUGGUAUUCCGAAGGGCAUGCCUGUUCGAGCGUCAUUUCACCACUCAAGCCUGGCUUGGUAUUGGGCGCCGCGGUCCGUCCGCGCGCCUCAAAGUCUCCGGCUGAGCUGUCCGUCUCCCAGCGUUGUGAUUUCAUUAAUCGCUGCGGAGUGCGGGUGGCCGCGGCCGUUAAACCUUUCACAAGGUUGACCUCGGAUCAGGUAGGGAUACCCGCUGAACUUAA